rnacentral:rRNA from 1 species
UGUCGAUGAAGAGCGCAGCAAACUGUGUGAAUUAAUGUGAACUGCAACCUGCCAUGAACAUCGACAACUUGAUUGCAUAUUGCGGCCAUGGGUUAGCCUGUGGCCACGCCUGUCCGAGAGUCG